AUGUACCGCUCGUACACUCAGGUUCCUAAGCGCCGUCCACGCCCACCUGUCGACUGCUCGCUACGUCUUGAUAGCC
rnacentral:sRNA from 1 species